UAUUUAAUUUUGUAUUCUGGACAUAAAACUUGACGUACAUUUCUUAAUAGGUGUCCCAUAAAUAUAUUUGAAAUAAACUACCUCCCAGGAGCUGGAAUUUACCACUGGAAAUGCUUAUGCUGUGGCCUGUGCUCACCUAUAAGGAAAAUGCCUGAACUUUCCAUAUCCUUCUGACUCCAGGUCCUUAGCAGGGAAUGUGAAGACUGUAAACAGAACAAGAACCAUGUCACAGGGUUGAGUACAGAGGAAAUAUUCUAGUGGGAUUCUGGAAAAUUGGUUAUAUCUACACAGGACACUAAUUCUGUCCUGACAAAGAUUUCCAGCCACAAGCAUCCACACAGGACACUAAUUCUGUCCUGACAAAGAUUUCCAGCCACAAGCAUCCCAUGAUACCAUGUUGUCUGUGUCCUCAUAGGAUCCAAAGGAUGUAUUGAAUACUUUUCCAAGCCCUUUGUGACCUCAUGUUUCUCAGCAGCCUUCAUCUGAUGGGUUUGUGUCGCUGUUUUCCUUAAUUGGACCUGCUUAUUCUGAUUACUUGCAGAUAAAUAGAGCUCAGGAAAUAUGGCCAGGAGAAAGACUUUAAUGAUGUUGGCCGAUUACAAUUAUGCAAUUGCUCUGUCAAGUUUUCCCCUUCAUUUACUCAAGUGGUUGCUAGGAUUUGGAACUGACCUCUGAAAAUGAAGCUUUUUCUGAAUGAAAUGCAGUCAACCAAGGUUGAAGGAAAAGCAAGGAAAGGUGUCCUCUGUUGCUAGAUUCCAUGUCAACUUGAUAUAAGGGUCUUGUUUCCAGGACAACACGUUAAAGCAUCAAUGGUUUGGUUUGUAGCAGAGCUGAGGUACAAUAUAACCAGCAGCCUCACAUUCCUGAUACCAUGCCUUCCUGGCCGUGAUGAACUACACACUCAAACUAAACAUUGCUAAGAGCAAAACACGUGUCCUUAAACAGAAAGAAUUCAGUGUGUGUAUGUUCUAACAACAUGGCCCAGGGAUAGAUAUGUAGGUAAGGCUUCUCUUUUCUUUGAUAUUUUACAUUUUACAUCAGUUUUCCAUUUAGCUCCAAAUGCAUCAGUAUUUAAGAAUGUCAAGAUGUUUUAAAAUUAGAAAAUUUUAUUGUUUAUGUUUUUUUUUUUCCUACCGCCCCAGUCUCUGAAUAUACUUCAGCAUCCAAGAACAUACUCAUGCUGUUCCUGUGGGUUAUGUUGUCCCUUGAACUUAAUAUUCCAGUUUAAAAUGUCAGAUUGGGCCCAGGGAAUUCAAGUUCAAAAUCAUAUCAUUAGGAGCUGGAGAGAUUGCUGGGAAGAUAAAGUGCUUGCCAUGUAAGCAUGAGAACAGGAGCAGGAUCUCUGGAGCCCUUGUAAAAAGGCCAGGUAUGGUAGCAUAAGCUUGUAACCCCAUCACUGGGUGGCAAACAGGGAUGUUCCUGGGGCUCCCUGACCAGCCAGCUUUGCCCAUCUGAGAGCCCAAAGCCAGAGGUAGACCCAGUCUCCAAACAACAACAACAACAACAACAACAACAACAACAACAACAACAUGGUGAUGAGAAUCUGAGGACUGACCCCAAAGUUGACCUCUGAACUUCUUACCCACCACACAUGUGCAUGUGUACACACCCCUACACAAAUACACACACAUACUUAUGUCAUCAAUGGAUAUUCAACAAUCAAUGUUGGGGGACCCUGAUGUUAAGGUCACAGUCCACCGUGUCCGGAUAGCUCUACAGAGCUUGGCGUUCAAUGGAGGACUCCUUUUCUCAACAGGGUCUUCCUACUCUCUGCCUGACCUUAUUUAGAAAGUGUCUCCAAGCACAGAUGCCUGACCUUAUUUGGAAGAUGACCUUCGGCAUAGCUACCUACAAGAGCUGCCCCUAGGUUUUUUCCUGUAUGAUAAUUAGGCAUUGCAUUACAGCCAGACAAUCCCACUUCCCCUUUCUACAUGAGGACCUUCCUGCCACAUUCAAAUAGAACAUACUAUGAACACCUAUGAAGUGAAGCUUUGGCUGCCAUCUUCACCCUAUAUUUUCUCCCGACUACCCCUGAGUAAACAAGCUGCCUCACUGAAGCUGACUCCCGGAAAGUUUUUUCCAUUGUACUCAUGGCUGUCCCAACCCUGCUCACUGCCUCUGCUCCAUUUGUCCUCGUGGAUCAGUGGCCAAUGACCCACGAGGGAAGAGAGACCCACUGCUGGCACCCGAAUGUGGGGCUCCUGAAACACGCAGAGUUUUUGAGUUGCCUCUCUGUGAGGGCAGAGGCGUUUUUGCUUUGGCCAUCGCACCCUGAGGCUUGGUAGCCCCUCCUUUCUCCCUUUUACUUUCCAUCUGAGUCUUCGCUGGACUGUUAAAGACAAAAGGGCAAUCGAGGCUUUCUGAUCAGGGCUACUCCCUGAUGUUAGCCGAAAGCUCUUAGUCUUCUGAACGGACCUCGACUGCUGAUCUCGGUGUCGACAAAGACCUCCUAUCCAAAUGUCUCUCUACUGCAAAACCCCAUUACGCAACAACCCACUAGGGAAGAGAGACCCACAAAGCAAGGCCUUGACAUCUGCUUAAUAUUUAUUUAUUCUUUUAAUUUUAUAUGUAUGAA